AUCAGAAUGACAUUUUCCUUCUCUAGCUUAUGCUAUCAUGGCCUUAAUUCCUAUCUGACUCUAUAUCUAUUCAGGAUAUUUCAGAUAUUGAAUGCCAGGAGGUUGCUGACCUUGCAGCCUCUAGGGAAAAUUAUCUUGUCUGAGCAGAUUUUAUGACAAUUUCCUAUUUAUUCUUGUUUGACUUUGUAAAGUCUUCUAAGAUUUAUACA